rnacentral:rRNA from 1 species
UAAUACGGAGGGAGCUAGCGUUGUUCGGAAUUACUGGGCGUAAAGCGUACGUAGGCGGUUACUCAAGUCAGAGGUGAAAGCCCGGGGCUCAACCCCGGAACUGCCUUUGAAACUAGGUAGCUAGAAUCUUGGAGAGGCGAGUGGAAUUCCGAGUGUAGAGGUGAAAUUCGUAGAUAUUCGGAAGAACACCAGUGGCGAAGGCGACUCGCUGGACAAGUAUUGACGCUGAGGUACGAAAGCGUGGGGAGCAAACAGGAUUAGAUACCCUGGUAGUCCACGCCGUAAACGAUGAUAACUAGCUGUCCGGGCACUUGGUGCCUGGGUGGCGCAGCUAACGCAUUAAGUUAUCCGCCUGGGGAGUACGGUCGCAAGAUUA